GACGAACCGUGCGAACGUUAUUCGGAAUCACUGGGCUUAAAGCGCGUGUAGGCGGCCCGGCACGUCCGUCGCUGAAAUCCCCCGGCUCAACCGGGGAAGUGGCGUGGAUACGACCGGGCUGGGGGGGGGUAGGGGGAGCCGGAACUUCCGGUGGAGCGGUGAAAUGCGUUGAGAUCGGAAGGAACGCCCGUGGCGAAAGCGGGCUCCUGGACCCCACCUGACGCUGAGACGCGAAAGCCAGGGGAGCGAACGGG
rnacentral:rRNA from 1 species